rnacentral:rRNA from 1 species
AAUAGAUACCCGGGUAGUCCACGCCCUAAACGAUGUCUACUAGUUGUCGGGGGGUAACUCCUUCGGUGACGCAGCUAACGCGUGAAGUAGACCGCCUGGGGAGUACGGUCGCAAGAUUAAAACUCAAAGGAAUUGACGGGGACCCGCACAAGCGGUGGAUGAUGUGGAUUAAUUCGAUGCAACGCGAAAAACCUUACCUACCCUUGACAUGCCACUAACGAAGCAGAGAUGCAUUAGGUGCCCGAAAGGGAAAGUGGACACAGGUGCUGCAUGGCUGUCGUCAGCUCGUGUCGUGAGAUGUUGGGUUAAGUCCCGCAACGAGCGCAACCCUUGCCAAUAGUUGCUACGAAAGGGCACUCUAUUGGGACUGCCGGUGACAAACCGGAGGAAGGUGGGGAUGACGUCAAGUCCUCAUGGCCCUUAUGGGUAGGGCUUCACACGUCAUACAAUGGCUGGUACAGAGGGUUGCCAACCCGGCGAGGGGGGAGCCGAAUCCCCGACAAAACCAGUCGUAGUCCGGAUUGCAGUCUGCAACUCGA